UAGCUCAGCGGUAGAGCACUCCCUUGGUAAGGGAGAGGUCACGAGUUCAAGUCUCGUCA
rnacentral:tRNA from 1 species